AAAAAAAAAGAUAGAGAAAUUAUUACUUGGUAUUGAUCUCUAAGAGGGUGAGACUUAUUAUUAUUUUUGCCGACAACUUGAUCUUCACUGCCAUUGCCCAUGCUUUCUUUCACAGUCGCCGUCGCCGCUUUGGUCUCUACUACUUUCUCAUUCACCACCUCCACCACCACUAUGACCUGAAGUAUCUAAAGAACUCUACAAAAAAAAAAGAGGAGAUAGAAUUGUGGGAGUUAGAAAAAAUGGAUGGUAGAGAAGAAGAAAAGACUUAUGGGCUAGAAAGAGGUGAAGCGGUGGACGUUGAGAAGAUGAGAAGAUACUAAAGUUAGGAGCUGAAAAAAAAAAAAUCCCACACCUCGUACUAAAUGAGAAUAGAAGAAGACACCAAAAUUAGAAGUUAAUAAAAAAAAUAGAAAAAAAUAAAUUGAUGCCACAUCUUUUGGCAAAUGAAAGAGGUCAUAAUUUAUUAUAAAAAAUGAGUAGACUUUUAUUUUCAUGACAUGCAUAGGAGAGAAUGGGACUUUUGUAUGAAUUUGUAUCGUUUAAGAUUAUAUUAGGAUUAGGAUAGGUGGAUGUAUUAAUUAAAUGUUAUAUGUAAAGGGAAGAUGAAGGGUUGGAUUUUUUGUGUGGGUUUCUAAGUUUACGGAACUUAUCUUCUUUCUUUUUUGAUUAUCUUCUGACGUUACAAAAAAGAAAUUAUGAGAUGGAAAGUCGAAGAGACAUACGAUAUGGAAAAGAAAUUAAUAAGACAGAAAUUAAUAAGACGAAAAGCCGAAGAAGUAGACGUUAUAGGGAAGGAAUUAAUAAAACGAAAAGUCGAAGAGACAGACGUUCAUAAGGUGAAAGCAAACAAUGAACGAAAUACUGCCAUGUGGCAUUUUUUAUGGGGAUUAAUGUAUAGGAAUAGAUUGUAUGCUAUUAUUUUUAUUUGGCAUACUUGUAAAUUAUCU
rnacentral:lncRNA from 1 species